CUGCAGGCGUCCCGAGGGGCAGGAUCGUCUCCGGAGCCGACCGUGCCAGGGCUGGGCCACGGAAGGCGGAGCUGCAGCAUGUGGAGGCCCUUUGUGGACAGGUGCACAGGCCCAUCUCUCUCCGAGGCGCUACCUGCGGUUUACUGGACGUUUAUUAGAAGCCCACGCAAUAUCGUGAAGCACCUGCAGGCAAUAAAACCCUUUACAUGUGUGAGGCCUUGAGGAAAUUAACGGCUCCUCCCUGGGGAUGCAUAUUUCGUGAAGAUGUUUAUUACAGAUGAAGUGCUCCCGGGGUGGAACAUUAACAAGUUGUAGAGUGAUAAAAGGAUUUUUAUCCUUUUUCAGUGACAGAGGCCAUUACCGAGAUGAAAGCCGGGAGAAUGCCUUUGGCCCAGGACUGCGGAAUCUAAUUGAAUUAUAUGAACGCAGUUAAACGUCGGCUUCAGAGAGGCAGGCCUCGCUUUCAAGACUGGAUGCUUCAGGAGUUAAUGGGCUAUUUGAACAAUAUAGGCCAAGAGCCGAACACAGCCCUUCUCCCUACUGCGGUCACUGACGUUCCAAGAGGCCAGUCUGAUGGCAUCAGGCCCUGCUGAACAACUGCUGUGGCUCCCCACUGCCCUCAGAGGAGAGUUCAGACUCCGUCUUGGCUUCCGACGUUCUUCCUGUUGCCUCGAGCCUCAUCUCUCACUCUCAUCUUCACGCCUCCUGGGUCCCUCCUCUGCUUGUUGUGGACCGUCAGCCAGGAAUGCCUCCUCCUAACCCCUAGGGACCCCGCUUCUCCCUUACCUGCCAGGCCCAGUUCAAAUGCAGCCUCCUCCAGGAAGCCUUCCUUUUCUGCCUGGAUCAGAUUCCUGUGACUGUGUAUAUGUCUUAUCAUUGGCCCCCUCCCUCCACUAGGCCAUGAAGACCUUGAGGGCAGGAUCCAUGUUCAUUAUUAUCAUAAAAAGAAGUUUAACACACUACUGGUUCCCACUUGUCAAGCAUGUCCUGAACGCCAGGUGCUUUACAAGCAUUAGCUCAUUAAACCUCCGCAGCACCCCGUUUUAUUGUCCCCAUUUUACAGAUGAGGAAACUGAGGCUCAGAGACAGGAAGUUACUUGCUCAAGAAUCUCCAGCUGUCCCAUUGACCAGCUGAGUGGCCUCGCUUCACCUCCCUGACAACAGCGUCUACAUCACGGGGUUCGGGCAGUGGUGUGCUGCAAUCAGUUCAUACUGGCUCUCAAGAGGUGCUUGUGAAAUUUUCAGGAAUUAAUUUUGUGAGCUGCUUGUUAAAAGCAGUCACUGUUAAAAAUAAAGUUAUACAAACUUACCAUUCAAUAAAUGGCCUUAAAAUUAAAAGUAACAAAUACUCCGAACUCAUCAAUUCCUAUCAAUUCACUUCACUUUGCCAUCAUCGGCGCUCGAGGUUGUCUGCGUCUAUUGUGUCCGUGUGGGGGAAACACCAUAGGAUGGCGUGGACACCACCCCCUGCACAUCACCACCUACUGCCCAUCUCUUCCCAGCUCCACCUUCGGUGACAUCAGGAAGGUAGUUUGAAAUCACCCACGGUCGGAGUAUUUACAUCAUGGAAAUUGGCAAACUCCACGAAUCAGGGUUGGUUGUUUGUUCUCCAGAGAGCUGGUUGUGAGACUGGUACCAGCACCCCGCG
rnacentral:lncRNA from 1 species